GGAGGCCCGCGGGCCGCGCGUGAGAACCGGCGCGGGCGGGCAGACGGGAGCAGGUGGUGCGGCCGGAGGGGGGCGGGGCGGGACGGGGCGGGACGGGAGCGACGGGAGCGGGCGGGGGGGCGCUUGGGCUCGUCCUCGAGCGGGGAGGGCGGGGAUGGACGAGCCGAGUCCUAAGCGUGAAGCCGGAAUCCGUCAAGGUUCCUUCACGCGGCUCAGAGAACUUGAAGAAGUUGUGUGCGUUCUGGUGGCGCUGGGCUCUAAAAUUUUCCUCUAUCCGAAUCCUGUUCUUGUUUUUACGUAUUUUCGAUGCCUGGUGGUAUCUUAUUAGAACUGAACAUUGAUCACUGUAUUUCACGAGGAUUGGGAGAAAAAGAACAAAAGGCGUCUAAAAAGGAACAUCCCAUUUCCGUGAUCCGCUCUACCGAAAUUUUGAGAAAGAAUAUGCUUCAGCAGCCGCACACGUUGAUCUUCAGGGCAGAGCGGGGGCUCUCGGCUGGGGACGGGAAGUCCAGACUCACCGUCAGGUGACCGUGAACCAGCCCUGCCCAAAGUCUCACUUUUGUCACCUGAAAAAAGUAGAGCAAUGAACUCCCCCUGCUUAUGUCGCAGCGCGUUCUGUGAUUCAGCGUGUAUUUGAAGAAAAGUGGAAUAUGAGCAUUGUCCGGGGGGGGGGGGGGGGGGCGGGGCGCCCAGCUGUCCUGGGCCGUCUUCCCUCCUGUGCGCACCUUAGAGGGUGUCUGGUCCCCUCGCAGCCGGUCGUCCUGCUCCCAGGCCGCCCUCUUCUGGGGUCCGGAUAGAUGGGACUUGGGUGCCGCAGAAGCCUCACAGUCUGCGUGCCCUAAGCGGAGCCCCGCACCUUUCCUGCAAACUUCCCUGCUUCCAAACUGCUUCCCUGCAGCCUGGUCUCAGCCCCCAGCCCCGUCCCGCAGUCGUCGAGGCCCACGGUCCGUUUUACUCGCGUCCCCCUGGUGGUCCGCCCGUCGCUCCUGCCACGCUCCGGCUUCCUGGUACAGGCCCCCAGCGCCUUCCACCUGGAGCGCCGUGGUUUUCGGCUCGUUAGGAAAUCUCCGUUGCCUUCAGGAUAAGUCCCGUCUCCCUAGAUCCGCUUCGCAAGGGCCUCCGAAUCCUGUCUCCAGCAGGAUCGUCCACCUGCGGCCGCUCCCCACUCCCCCCC
rnacentral:lncRNA from 1 species